rnacentral:rRNA from 1 species
ACGCUCGACACCUACGGGGGCAGCAGUGGGGAAUAUUGGGCAAUGGGCGCAAGCCUGACCCAGCAACGCCGCGUGAAGGAAGAAGGCCCUCGGGUUGUAAACUUCUUUUAACAGGGACGAAGUAAGUGACGGUACCUGUUGAAUAAGCCACGGCUAACUACGUCCAGCAGCCGCGGUAAUCUGAGCGGGCUGGCAAGGC